CGAAAGCCUGACGGAGCAAUACCGCGUGAGGGAGGAAGGCUCUUGGGUUGUAAACCUCUUUUCUCAAGGAAUAAGAAAGUGAAGGUACUUGAGGAAUAAGCAUCGGCUAACUCCGUGCCAGCAGCCGCGGUAAUACGGAGGAUGCAAGCGUUAUCCGGAAUGAUUGGGCGUAAAGCGUCCGCAGGUGGCCCUGUAAGUCUGCUGUCAAAGCGCAAGGCUUAACCUUGUAAAGGCAGUGGAAACUACAGAGCUAGAGUGCGUUCGGGGCAGAAGGAAUUCCUGGUGUAGCGGUGAAAUGCGUAGAUAUCAGGAAGAACACCGGUGGCGAAAGCGUUCUGCUAGGCCGCAACUGACACUGAGGGACGAAAGCUAGGGGAGCG
rnacentral:rRNA from 1 species